GUUGAACAGACUGACGGCUCAUUUUAGAGUUUGUGGAUGGUGGUGCAUGGCCGCAAUUGGUUCGUGGGGUGACCUGUCUGGUUAAUUCCGAUAAACGGACGAGAUUCUUGCUUGCUAAAUACGCUUUAUUCUUCAUAAUGAAGAGAUAAGCUUCUUAGAAGGACCGUCGGCUUCGAAGCCGUACGAAAAGGAGCGAUUGCAGGUCUGUGAUGCCCUAAGAUGUCCGGGGCCGCACGUGCGCUACAGUAGAGCGGACAACGUACUUCUUUGUUCCUUGGCCUGUCGGCCUAGGUAACCAGAGCAGUCCCUCUCAGUGCUGGGGAUAGGGGAUUGUAAUUGUUCCCCUCCAACGAGGAAUUCCUAGUAGGCGCGAGUCAUUAACUCGUGCCGACUAAGUCACUGCCCUUUGUACACACCGCCCGUUGCGAUCUCCGAUCGAGCGGUGGAGUGAGGUCUUCGGACGAGCUCGCUG